AGCGUGGGGAAUUCAUUCGAGUGUGGGUUUUGUAAGAACUUAUCUCAUUUCUGCAACAAUAUCUAGACCUGAUCUCUUGUAUCAGCCUCUGGUUGAUGCAUAGAUAGGGGGAGAUCACCGCAAUCUGGGGCAAGCUGAUUUUGUGAUUUGUCAUCUCAAAAGGGGAAGAGGUUUUAAGUUGAAAGAGAAAAAAAGGUAGGCAGCCUCUAUAUGGGACAUUUACACGAACCCCAGGCAACUUCCUUUCCAACUUCUCCUUGCUCUGGACCACUCUGUAUUUACCACUUCUCUGAAGGCCAGAGAUGCUACACACAUCUUGUUAAAGGGAGCGUCUUAGUUUGGCGGAACACCCAGGGAUGCUUCUGGCCGUCAGACAAAUACGUUUCGGGGAAAUGAACGGACUCUCACCCUGGGCUAUAUGACUUACGAUUUCCUUUUAAAGUUGAAAUCCCCCCUCAGGUAAAAUAUUAAAGAGUACAGGCUUUAAUAACACAUGGGACACUGGAGAUGUGGACACGUGAACAGGCCACAGGAGAGAGAUGCGAAUCUCAGGUCUCAACUGGAACAGGAUGCAGCGGAGAGUAACAGCCCUUGGGAUUCGAUUGGAGUCUGAAUCUUGACCCAACUACUUCUUGACUGGGGCACUGGUGUGAGUGGCUUCUUUCCUGGGCUUCCCUUUCCUCCUGUGUGAAGUCGGGGGACGGAGCCCCUCACGGCGACAUGUGAACGGGCCGUGGACGGUUACACAGAUAGGUUACGCCACGGCCAUCCGUGGAGAUCGAUGGCAGAGGUCCACUUUCAUGGCGACCCAACUUGUCAAGAUCAGAAAGGCCGCCAGUGAACAGCCGAACUGCACAUCCAGGCCACUGCUGCUGACUUUUGGGAACCAACUCUUCAGAAUGUUGGUAGGAAAAUUACUCAUUCGGGUAUAAGGUUGGCAAAAACACUUGUCGGUCAGUGCUUUACAUACAAGAACCCCCAAAAUGGAGGAAGUGGGUAUGGAGGAACAAGAAAAGAAGGGAAAAAAAGCAGUCACAGAGGUGGGGCGGCUGCUCGUCUUCCUGCCACCUGGAGGAAGUGCACACCUCAUUAAGGAGACGCCAGGCUUCUAUUAUUUUGGUUAUUUGGCAGAGCCCAGCCCACCCACCCACCCACCCAGUGGAAGGGGGAAAAUCCUCUCCCUGCUGUUCCAUGAAGGGAAGGAGACGAAUCCGGGAAGGAGCCACCCACUCCGGUUUCCAAGCAGAGCUGUCCUGCCCACGCACCCCUCGCCAAGGAGCCCAGCCUCUGUCCACGGCUCCUCCGUCCGUGGCUUCUGGCUCUAGCGUCCCCCUCCUGCUUUUUCUGUCCAUCUUCUGACCCCCGUUCUUGGUGAUUCUGGCCCAAUGCCGAGGGCUGCUUCCUCCCAUCUGCACCUCCAGACCACAGCCACUGUUGACUCAGGAGCUCUUGACAGCCUGGUCUACCCAACCCUGGCCCCGCUAUAUGCCGCACAUGUGGCCCCAAGCCAGUGUGGGUCCCCAAAGAGAUGCUGCUCCUCCGUGGCCUCUGUCUGGAGGAAAGGAGGCAGUGGGAUCGCGUGGUGGCCCAGAGACUCUUGUUCCAAACCACACAGAGGCUUACACGGAGGCUGGUGUGGUUGGCCACCUGUGGCCCACGGUUUCCGUGGUCCCCCGGUUCCUGGAGCAGAAGGCCCCUAGAUUUGUCAAGAAUGCCCAGUUGUUCCUGGAGAUUCCGAUCUCUCCACACCAACCCCCACAGGAGCACAGCUUUGUAUUAAAAAGAGGGGUUUUCUUGGCAUGUGUCCAUGCUUUAGGGUCCCGGCAGCCCGAGGGCAGUUCACCCGUUUGGCCCUGAGUCAGCUCAGACACCUGCCGGGAGGAAGGCUGCACGCACCGCAGGGCGACACGUGUCAGCAGGUGGCACGUGAAGCAGGAGGCACCACCUAGGACAGUUCUUCGUGUAGAUCCAUUUUUCAUCUGAUAAAAUUUUCCUCCAGCUCAGAGAAGUUCUUCAAUAUUUCCUGUACCGCACAGGCCUGUCAGCAGUGAGUUAUCUCAGGUUUUGUCUGAAAACGUUUUCAUAUUUUGCCUUCAAUUUGAAAAAUAUGUUUACUGGGUAUAGAAUUCUGGGUUAAUGGAUUUUUUUUCCUUUCAGCACUUGAAAGGCAUCACUCCAUCAUCCUCUAGCUUGCAUAACAGAUGAUGAGAAAUCUAUCCUAACCACCUUUCUUCCUCUGUAUCCAGUUGCUUUCUUCCUCUGGAUGCAUUCUCUCUUUUUUUUUUUAACAGUUUUUAAGUUUUAUUAAAUCCAGUUGAUUUUUUUUUAAGUGUGCUCCAUGCCCAACAUGGGGCUUGAAAUCAUGACCCCGAAAUCAAGAGUCAUAUGCUCUACCGUCUGAGUCAGCCAGGCUCCCUUCUGGAUGCAUUCUAUAUUUUCUCUCUCUCUCUCUCUCUCUUUUUUUUUUCCAGUUUUUAACACUUUUAUUAUGGUAUGAGUAGGAGAGUUUUUAUUUUAUUUGGGGUUUUUUUGUUUGGUUGGUUUUGGUUUUCUGGGUUUUUUGUUCUGUUUUGUUCUCGGGGUUUUGUAUUUAUACUGCUGAGUUUCUCUGAACUUCAUGGCUCUGAGGCUUGCUGUCUUGCAUUAUUUUUGGAAAAUUCUUCGCCAUGAUCUCUUUAAAUACUUCUUAUGCUAUAUUCUUUCUCUUUUAUUCUGGAUGUCAGUCACCCAUAUGUUAGAUCAUUUCACAUUGUCUGUGGCUCUUAGAUACCUUGUUAGUUGUUGUCACUCUUGUAUUCUUUUGGGGUAUCACUUUUUAUGAUUCUAUUGGUCUGUCUUCAAGUUCAUUAAUCUUUCCAGCUGAGAGCAGCCUACUGAUACGCCUGCCAAAGGAAUUCCUUGUGUCUUAUCUCAAUUUCUAUUUGUGGCAUUCCUAUUAGUCGCUUUCUUACCAAUUCCACAUGUCCGUUGAAAUUCUCCCUCUGUUCAUUGCUAUUCGCUCUCCCUCUAGGAAGUUUAGCAUUCAUCACAGUUACACCGAAGUCCCUGUCUGAGAGCACCGGCACCCGGGUCAUCUCCAGUACUGGCACUGCUGAUUGCUUUAUCUGCUGGAAAUAAGUUGUUUUUGUUUUUGUUAUGUUUUGCUUUUCUUUUUUAAGUGUCAACUUUUGAUCAACUGCUGAAAAUCAUGCAUAAAUAGUGGAGACUGAAGGAAGUGGUUUUUAUGCCCAUUAAAAAAAAAACCUCCUUUUGUGUGUGGUGUGAGGGGCAAGAGACUUGUUGAUCUAGUUAGAUGUUGAACUGAGUUUGAGUUUCACUUUGAUUUAAAUCAUUACCUUCAAAACACCACAGGCUUCAAAACCCUGCAGGGAUGGGCCGCCUCAUACAGGGCUGGGGUGCUGGAGGGUUUUCCUGUAACCCUGCUCCAUCCCCCCUUCUCAGCCUUGCCCAUAGGCCCCUGUGCCACUCAGGGGUCCGCUCUUUGCCCCGGCCCCUCCCUCAGAACUACACCACCCUUGUCAGCCGCUCUCGGCCUGCCCUGCGGUGGAGGGAGGGCUUUCCUGAAGCUGGGUCUCAGGCAAACCCUGCGAAUCUGCGCCUUGGGCUUAGGGUUUCAUAAGCAUUUCUGCUCCUCCUUCCCACGGCCUCUUAUUUGUGGUUGGUCUCAGGAGGGAGACCAUUUCCGGUCCGUUCCUCUGCAGCGCCCAUUCUCUGGGUUUGUCCUGGGAUGGGAGGCAAGUUGUCCUUCUCUCAGUAGUUCAAGCCUUCUGCUCCCUGGCUGAAAAGGAUAAUAGGGAGUUCGUGUCUAUUUCCCAUGCUAUAGAAGGAGGACCUCAUAGAAGCCUGUGCCCCUGGGGUGGCCGGGGGGCUCCUUCAAGGCCUGUGCCCCCCCCCAAACUCUCUUGGGCAGGCCUGUAGAAAAAGCCUACAAGCAAGUACAAAUUGCCCCCUCUCCCAGGUCUCCUGCUAUUUGAACCUGACCUGUUAGCCCAGGCUUGGUCUUUAAGGAUUCUUUAAAACUGGCUGCUUUGUUCUUACCUACAGUAUGGUAGCCACCUCUUUCUCCUUUCUUGGCUAAGUGUGGCCUAGUUCUUGCGUCCCAUCUCUCCUCAAAGGGGCUUUCCUUUCUUUGGAAUUCAGCCCAUGUAGUCAUCUUGCACACGAAGCUAGGAAGCUCUCUGAAGGUCUCAAGAAAAGUCGUGAUUUGGUAGAUGACAUGGAGUUUUCUUUUUUUUUUUUUAAGAUUUUAUUUAUUUGUUUAUUUGAGAGAGAGAGAGAGUGCACAUGCAUGAGCAGGGGGGAGGGGAGGGAGACUCCCUGUUGAGCAGAGAACAAGGACAUGGGGGCUGGAUCCCAGGACCCUGAGAUCACAACCUGAGCUGAAGGCAGGCGCUGAGCUGACUGAGCCCCCGGGCGCCCAGACCUGGAGUUUUCUCAUAGCUAGGAUGGGGGUGAUUCUCCUCGGAGACUUUCUACAUGGUAACAGGAAGCACACAUCCAGGAGUUGACAUUUAACACCAAACACGUGUGUCUCGGGGGCUCAUCCCCUUCACAGAAGAAACUCCCGUACUAACAAUGUGUCCGUUCUCCUUAUCCUGGGGGCCAGGUGAAAUCCAGAAGAGCCUUCGCCAGGCUGAGGCGGUGGCGCUGAGGUCACGGCUGAGCGGAGCUGGGAAGGUGCUCGGGGUCACCUGAGGAGACUGAGCUAGACCAUGUCCCAGGUCGGCAGAAGCUGAAGCCAGGGGCCCUCUCUCCCCAGCGAGCCAGAAAUGUGAGAAAAGGCCAUGAAGCUGCAAAUCAAGGAAGCGCACUUCCAGAGCAGGUAGUAAAGAUCAAAAGAAGGACAGAGUCAUAAUUCCAGGAAUCAGCCUGAGGACAGCCUGGGGCUGGAAGCCCCCUCGCUGGGGCUGCCGCAGGACGGCACGACGAUCCCCGCGGCUGACCGGGUUAGAACGUCCGAGUACUGGAUGUAAAGCUGAGAAAGACGCGGGGUGACUGGGAAGGAAGAGGCUGACAGGCUGUGUAAGCACCAAAGCAGAGCGCUCAGACAAGGGCUGGUUCAGGUCACCUGUUACGGCUGAGUCGUGCGCCAUUUACCUGUUGCAUGAGGAAUUCCAGCUGCCGCUGGGGAGAGAAGAAACCAUUUCUCCUCUCACCAGAAGUUUAAAAUUCAGGGGCUGUGAAGUGGUCUUUAAUGGUUAGCUGUGCGACUGUCUGCUUUUAAAGAAAAACUCAGAAAAAAGAAAAAAGAAGGGAAAGGAAGGGAAAGGAAAAAAGAAAGGAAAGGAAAGGAGAAAAAAAAAAACUCAGAAAAGCAUCGUUUCUUAUUCUGAAAGGAAUGUGAUCUGUUCCAUGAGCUGGUGCUUCCCGAACUUUAAUGAGCAUCUGAACCCCCCGAAAUGUUCUGAAUUUGCAGAUUCUGAUAUCCUAGCCCUGGGCUGGGGCCCGAAAGUCUGCAUUUCUGACAAGCUCCAGGCAAUACGUUGCUGAUACAGUGCGGGGACCACACUGUGGGCAGCAAGAUUCUAGAACAUACACCAAGAGCUGGAUCUGAGACCCGCAAAGCGCUUGUAAAGGAGCCCGGCGAUCACAGCCUUCGCACCGCUAACUACGCUUGUGAGAGGCGGUGGUGCCCACUAGAAACUCCACACUGACCCACAGGUGGUCUCGCCUUGAGGGCCUGAAACUGAGACUUUUGGGAAGGGCCUCGCCAGAGCCACUGCCCCCCACCCCGGUCUCGAGGCCAGGUGGAGCACACAAGCAGCAAGGGUACCUCCAUGCACCGGGACUGUGGUCAGAUACACGCGAUUAUCAGGCACGCACUCUGAACCAGACUCCGAGCUCAGCAGUUUCAGGUGUGUUGCUGUCCCAACGUUCGUUAUUUGCUUUUCCAAACGAAUGUACCUAUAUAAAUAAAUACGUUACCAUCA